UACGUAGGGUGCAAGCAUUAAUCGGAUUUAUUGGGCGUAAAGGGCGCGUAGGCGGAGAUGCCAGUCAGAUGUGAAAUCCCGGGGCUCAACCUCGGAACUGCAUUUGAAACUACAUCUCUAGAGGGUAGACGGAGAAAACGGAAUUCCACAAGUAGCGGUGAAAUGCGUAGAUAUGUGGAAGAACACCGGUGGCGAAGGCGGUUUUCUAGUUUAUACCUGACGCUGAGGCGCGAAAGCAAGGGGAGCAAACAGG
rnacentral:rRNA from 1 species